rnacentral:rRNA from 1 species
GACGAACGCUGGCGGCGUGCCUAAUACAUGCAAGUCGAACGAGAGCGCCCGGUGCUUGCGCUGUUCAAUCUAGUGGCGAACGGGUGAGUAACACGUGGGUAACCUGCCCAUCAGAGGGGGAUAACAUCCGGAAACGGAUGCUAAAACCGCAUAGGUCUUCGAGCCGCAUGGCUCGAAGAGGAAAAGAGGCGCAAGCUUCUGCUGAUGGAUGGACCCGCGGUGCAUUAGCUAGUUGGUGAGGUAACGGCUCACCAAGGCCGUGAUGCAUAGCCGACCUGAGAGGGUGAUCGGCCACAUUGGGACUGAGACACGGCCCAAACUCCUACGGGAGGCAGCAGUAGGGAAUCUUCCGCAAUGGACGCAAGUCUGACGGAGCAACGCCGCGUGAGUGAAGAAGGUUUUCGGAUCGUAAAACUCUGUUGUUAGAGAAGAACAAGUGCUAGAGUAACUGUUAGCGCCUUGACGGUAUCUAAACAGAAAGCCACGGCUAACUACGUG